rnacentral:sRNA from 1 species
GGGGAUGUAAUGGUUUCGACAUUUAUCCAGAAGUAUAAAUAGCGAGUAGUGGAUUCUCGCCAGGCCACUUAAAAAGGUGAGAAAAUAAAAUAAACGCUGAUAAUAGAGAAUUAGCAUACGCUGCCUAGGCGCAGUGUCAUCUAUUUAUAGUUUACCCACGGCUAUAAAAUAGGUGUCGACUUAGUGGGAAACAAAUCUAUUUAGUUCUUCAGAAAUAGAGGGGACUUUAGAGAAGAUAUAUUUUAUUUAGUUUUGUUUAUUAAUCUAAAUAAAAAAGAAAUUAAAUAAUAAACUGCACUCGGAGAAGUUUAUAUGGAAGGAUUUAUGGACAGGAGUUCGACUCUCCUCAUCUCCACCA